AUCCACAAGAUGUAGCAGUUCCUACGGCAGCAGCGAGAAGAGCUACAGGCUUACUUUCGUUGGAUGGGGUACAACCCUAACCAGCAGCAGUGAGCCUGAAGCUAGCUUGGGGGAGGACCCCCGCAAGAGAGGCAACAUGUAUCUUGACCGCUUUCAAAAUAUGUAUGAUAAAAACAAAUAAAAAUCUGAAAAACUAAAAAGACCAAAAAUAUUUACUGCUUUUCUAAGCAUGGUAAGAAUGUUUUAAUUCUCCAUGGUUAAAAUGAUGAAUAGUUUCUCUAUUUAUUU
rnacentral:lncRNA from 1 species